UAAUUUCUAUGUAAAUUUAACUGUUAAUCUAAAGAGGUACAGCUCUUUAGAUCAAGGAUACAACCUUAAUUAGAGAGUAAGUCUGAAUAAUAACCAUAGUUGGCCUAAAAGCAGCCAUCAAUUAAGAAAGCGUUCAAGCUCAACAAAUAACUUCACUUAAUACAACACUUCAUAACCAUCUCCUAAUUAAAUACUGGACUAAUCUAUAAUAUUAUAGAAGCAAUACUGUUAAUAUGAGUAACAAGAUUUAAAUCUCCCCAGCGCAAACUUAUGUCAGAUCAAAUACUAACUGAUAAUUAACAGCCAAUCAAAUAAAACCUAAAAUUAAUUAUUUAUACCUCUUACUGUUAACCCGACACAGGAGCGCUACACAAGGAAAGAUUAAAAGAAGUAAAAGGAACUCGGCAAACACAAACCCCGCCUGUUUACCAAAAACAUCACCUCUAGCAUCUUAAGUAUUAGAGGCACUGCCUGCCCAGUGACAUUUGUUUAAACGGCCGCGGUAUCCUGACCGUGCAAAGGUAGCAUAAUCAUUUGUUCCUUAAAUAGGGACUUGUAUGAAUGGCCACACGAGGGUUUAACUGUCUCUUACUUCCAAUCAGUGAAAUUGACCUUCCCGUGAAGAGGCGGAAAUAAACUAAUAAGACGAGAAGACCCUAUGGAGCUUUAAUUUACUUUACCUAAAGAAUUUUAUCUAAACCACAAAUCAGUGGACUCAUAUUUAUUCUAAUUAGGUAAAAAAUUUUGGUUGGGGUGACCUCGGAGUACAAAAAAUCCUCCGAGAAUCUAAUACUAAGACCCACAAGUCAAAGUAAAAUAUAUUACUGAUCCAGUCUUACUGAUCAACGGAACAAGUUACCCUAGGGAUAACAGCGCAAUCCUAUUUGAGAGUCCAUAUCGACAAUAGGGUUUACGACCUCGAUGUUGGAUCAGGACAUCCUAAUGGUGCAGCCGCUAUUAAUGGUUCGUUU
rnacentral:rRNA from 2 species